AAGGCCCUCCCCACCUUCGAAUGGGGUGUAUAUAUUUUUGGCUUUUUCUCCAAAUCUAAUGCUUUUGAUGAGUUGUAGAUCUAUGAUGAUUAGCUUUGAUGUUGGUCUUAGUUGGAGCAGAGGAUGGAGGUUUGUAUGGUGCCCGAAGAUGGUAUCUAACUGGGGCUUACAAGUAUUGUUGGAGUGCAGCUUGCUCGAUUUUGGGUUUGGUUCAUUGUCUUCUUAGGCAGCAAAGGAGAUGAAAAUGAAGCUAAUAGAGUGCUUCUCUUUGGUUUCUCGAGCUUUGCUAUGUGAAUACUUCUACGUUUGGCUUCAACUGGGCUUGGUGCUUUGGCUCUUGUUCUACUAUAAAGUGGUGUUAGUGGCUUUAGAUUUGCAUCUAUGGGGUAUUUCCGUUUUGGUUGCCGACAAAACUCUCUGGUGGAUUUGCAGUGAAGAUUGUUGGAAGCUCCUUCCUAUGAAAGUUUUUGGAGUUUCUCUCUGGACUCAUGUGUGGGUCGAGUUCAUCUCUAGGCUCUGUUUUGGUUCGAUUAUUUUUGUUUGAGUUGGAUUUCGACCCUUAUUAGAUCACCCUUUUCCAGGCCCGUUUACUAUUAAAAAAAUUAUUUUUUUAAA